rnacentral:rRNA from 1 species
GAAUAUUGCACAAUUGGCGCAAGCGUGAUGCAGCCAUGCCGCGUGUAUGAAGAAGGCAUUCGGGUUGUAAAGUACUUUCAGCGAGGAGGAAGGCGUUAAGGUUAAUAACCUUGGCGAUAGACGUUACUCGCAGAAGAAGCACCGGCUAAAUCCGUGCCAGCAGCCGCGGUAAUACGGAGGGUGCAAGCGUUUAUUGGAAUUACUGGGCGUAAAGCGCAGGCAGGCGGUCUGUUAAGUCAGAUGUGAAAUCCCCGGGCUCAACCUGGGAACUGCAUUUGAAACUGGCAGGCUUGAGUCUUGUAGAGGGGGGUAGAAUUCCAGGUGUAGCGGUGAAAUGCGUAGAGAUCUGGAGGAAUACCGGUGGCGAAGGCGGCCCCCUGGACAAAGACUGACGCUCAGGUGCGAAAGCGUGGGGAGCAAACAGGAUUAGAU